GAAACAAUAUAUUUGUAGGUUCUAACAUUUCAUCAUCUAUACAUCGACGACUAUUGUCUAACUGGUCCUAGCUCUCCAGCAACUCUAGCCACAUCUAGCCACCAUCUUACCAUCUGAUUUGCAUAUGAGAAACAAAGAAUCAAUUUCUGUGUCCCAAAUCAUAAACCAGGAGUUUACAAUGAAUUGAAGGGCCAGCACUUCUUUUAAUAGAUGGUCCCAAACAGAAACUUGAAAGCAAGAUAACUUGUUAUCUAUUCUGUUAUAUAUAGUGCAAAAUAUGUUCUCUAAUCAAAUCAAGACUAACCAGCUGGUAUCUGACAUGAUUGAACCGACCAAUUAUCACACACAAAUAACCAGAACAUUUCAUCUUAUCUUCUAAAUGAGCAUCUCAUCGUUAUAAAGACUACCAUAUUCCUCGAACAAGUAUUCUUAUAGGUUCACCGAAUAUGUCGAGGUUCCAUGUUCUUGUUUUUAGAUAUAUUUUGGUGACUAGCUGAAUAAACAAGGCCUGUCAGAUUCAACAACCUGAAUAUAUGAUAGGUUUUUGUUAGAAAUACAUCUAGACAAGUACAAGUAAAGAUAUGUACUCUAAACUGAAACACUAAAUAGUUUUUAAACUAUUAAUAUCUCCAAUUUGAUAAAACACUAAACAAUUUUAUUAUGUGUGUGUUAUCUGUAGAGAAAAAUCGAUAGCAUGCCUUACACACAACUAAUUAUUGCACCAAAUUUUAAUGUGCAAGUGACAUGGAGGAACCUUUUGUAAAGCGGUACAAGCAAUUAUUGCACCAAAUUUUAUGUGCCCUUUUCUUUUUUUAAGGCACCGAUAAAGUAGAAGACAAAGAGAUAAAAUGCUUAAUCUAUGGGCCAUGACCGUGCUCGAUACAGAUUCUCUACAAGUGUUUGUCUGAGAAGUUGUACAAAUAGAAGCGGAGUCAGAGUGAAUAAUUCGAAUUUAGUUUUUGCCUUUUAGUUAUAUAAGUAAUAAUGGUGAUGGAAAUAAGUACAUCGACAAGUGUAUCGUUUUUAUCUUUGAUUCAGCUUGUUUUAGCUAUGCAGCUUUAAUUUCAACUCACUAACAUUUAGAUAUUAACUGACAGCAAAUUGGAAAGUCACCGCUCACGAGCACAGCACCGGGAACCCUGGCAGGCGCUCCCCACAGCUUGCAUAAGCAUCUUCACUUUUCAGCUCCAGCAAAUGUCCAUACUUGACGGUUGACACAGCUUCUUCCAGAAUGCCUGCCAUGGGAGCAUUGUUUUGGUCCUCGACGUAUUCUGCUACAGAUGGAGCACACUGCACGCGACGACAUCUCUCACCUGGCACGAGGCGGUGUCAGGGUGAACAGCGAUGGCGAACUGCGCACCUCUUGUGUUUUUCUUUUCUCUGAACACAAUGAAUCCUUGUCCAAAGGAAGAAGCAAAUAGAGCCUAAAUCAAGAUGCCAACGCAGAUGCUCUCCAACACCUCCUCAUCGAAGCUAUUGUGGCUCUCCUGCAGAUCUACCGAACCCUACACGAGAGAGGAGAUGCGAAGGAUGUGGGACACGACAAACUUACGGGCAAGAAAGUUUUGGCUACUGGAGAGGACAGAUGCCGCCAGGGAGAUUGCAGCGCCGCCGCUUACGUCGCCUAGCACUCGGGUCUCGUCUCCGCACUUGCUGCGGGCCUGAGACUGACGAGGAAAAAUUCCACGAGUCAGGAGUCGUGGGUCGAAUACCAGGCCACGGUGAAGGGAUUUCACUGGGAUUGGACUGGGGUAGAAACCUACGAGGGCUAACCGAACAGAUGUUCCUGCAUGGACCAGGCUUGUUUCCAUGCGAGCUGAUCCACGAGGUUUGCCACCGCAUCCCAGCCGGGAAUGGUGCAACCGAACAAAGUAAGCAAGAAAUGGGCAACAGACACCCGUCCGUACCUUAGUCAGGAGUCUCCAACACAUGCAGAAAAUAUGUUCUUGCCUAACAGGAAGCGUUUCAAGAACAAUGCCACUGCGGUUAAGAGCAAGAAUAGCAUUAUCUGCCUGCACAAACAGGAAUUUAAAUGGUCAAGUUCCGGAAAGGAACAAAUCGUCAGGCACAUAAGCGUCCCAUCCAUUCAAAGAUAUAUCAGGUUUCAUAUCAUUAUAAGGAAAUAAAAAAAAAAGAAGUGGUGCUAGAGGCAGAGAGAUGCAGGUGCCAAAGAGAAGGAUAAACAAAAUUACAGUCAUAGCCAAAGACACAAAUGUUGGGAUCAGUUUUUCCCCCAUACUGAGGAAACCUGAAUUUCAUUACUCAGGAUCAACAAAAUUACAGUCAUGGCCAACUUGUUAACAAGUUCAUACAUCCGCAACGCCAGUUAUAAAAAAUAUGUACAUAUAUAAACAUCUGAUGCAAAUCAACCUAAAGCCUAGAGUGCCAAAGACCAACCAGCACACACAUAAGCAUGAGCACCCACCAGAGAGGUUUACAGAGUACUAGACACAACUUACAAAGGAGUUAAACAGUCGUAAGAAAAAUGAUAGGAUCUUUGUUGUAUUCAGGAUAUAGACGAAUAAAAAUCAUAUGACCUCAACCAGACUGAAUAUCAGGAACCUUAUAACACACCUGUCCACAGAUUGAAAAAUCUUCAGCAAGUUUCUGUUCAGUUACCUGCAAACCGAGGGGGUCAACAGAUCAAAGAAAAAAUAAAAAUAAAUAUAACCAAACACGAUAGCUUAUUCUCAAGAAUACAUGCUGAUGUUUCAAAAAAAAAUACAUGCCGCACACUAUCCUCUCUGUCAGCUCGACGAGACCAGUCACCCAUCAAUCUUCUCCUCGCCUCCCUGUAAAGAACCUUCUCCUCGCCGGGAUGAAACUAUUCCUUCGAUGUAAUCACGAACCAAAUGCAGCUGAAUAUUCUCAAGACAGUACUCCAAUUGUAUACCCAAUUCAUAGCACUGGCUAACGAUAUGCUGGGAGAACAUAACUGAGAAAGAAACCAUAACGAAAAUCUAAUGACAGAUAAUUCAUUUGCAUGGUACGGAUCAGGAAGUAAUCAGUUGGUAAGAAUCUUCUAGACAUCCCCUGUCAUAGUGUAUCAAUAUCAAUCGAUCCUGGCAGAUGGAUUGAAUUUUAUAUUGCGGCCAAUGUAGACCUAAAACCCUCACAAAACAUUAGCCCCCCGACUCGGCAAUUCAACAAAUACCCGUCAUUCGGCUGCCCAUUGAUGGAUCCGUCGCUGCUCGAGUCCCUCCU
rnacentral:lncRNA from 1 species